rnacentral:lncRNA from 13 species
UUUUUUUUUUUUUUUUUUUUUUUUUGAGAUGGAGUUUCCGAGUUUCAAUCUUGUUCCCCAGGUUGGAGUGCAAUGGCGUGAUCACAGCUCACCGCAACCUCCACCUCCUGGGUUCAAGCAAUCCUCUUGCCUCAGCCUCCCGAGUAGCUGAGACUACAGUUCUGGAGGCUGUGAAGUCUGAGGUCAAGGGGCCAUAUCUGGUGAAGGCCUGCUUGAUAGUGAGGACUCUGGAGAGUUCCAAAUUGGCAAAUGGCAUCAUAUGGUUUGGGACCCUCUCGCUGGACGAGAUUCCCGGGCUUGCGUUCAGUUCACAACAGAGGUGCAUUCAUGGGAUCAUGGCUCUCACUUCAAGCCUCAAACUCCUGGGCUCAAGCAGUCCUCCCACCUCAGCCUCCUGAGUAGCUCGG